rnacentral:sRNA from 1 species
AGAAAUACUAUUAAAACAAUCAAUACGGCAAGCCAAAGACAGACGGCUGCCUGCCGUGUGUGAAGAAAAGUCGAAGACACUGCGCAAAAAAAAACGAGAACGUCGAAGAAUAACAGGUAAUUCAAAUCGAAUACAUGGAAAUUUUAUACUCGGCUCCAAGAAAUUAUGUGGGUAACAGGGAAAAGGAGUAAACAAUAUGAAAAGGGUCGCCCGCCGCCAGAGUUCAUAUAAGAUUACACACACGAAGCGAAGAAGCACUGCAAAGAUUUGUAUGCUAAUUUCAACUAUUGAAUGCGUAUCAGUCAGAAGGAGAC